rnacentral:rRNA from 1 species
ACAGAGGGUGCAAGCGUUGUUCGGAAUUAUUGGGCGUAAAGCGCGUGUAGGCGGCUUUGCAAGUCGGGUGUGAAAUCCCUCAGCUUAACUGAGGAAGUGCGCCCGAAACUGCCGAGCUUGAAUACCGGAGAGGAUGGCGGAAUUCCCCAAGUAGAGGUGAAAUUCGUAGAUAUGGGGAGGAACACCGGUGGCGAAGGCGGCCAUCUGGACGGCUAUUGACGCUGAGACGCGAAAGCAUGGGGAGCAAACAGGA